rnacentral:rRNA from 1 species
UGCAGUCGNACGGCAGCACGGGAGCAAUCCUGGUGGCGAGUGGCGAACGGGUGAGUAAUAUAUCGGAACGUGCCCAGUCGUGGGGGAUAACGUAGCGAAAGCUACGCUAAUACCGCAUACGAUCUACGGAUGAAAGCGGGGGACUCGUAAGGGCCUCGCGCGAUUGGAGCGGCCGAUAUCAGAUUAGGUUGUUGGUGAGGUAAAAGCUCACCAAGCCUGCGAUCUGUAGCUGGUCUGAGAGGACGACCAGCCACACUGGAACUGAGACACGGUCCAGACUCCUACGGGAGGCAGCAGUGGGGAAUUUUGGACAAUGGACGCAAGUCUGAUCCAGCAAUGCCGCGUGCAGGACGAAGGCCUUCGGGUUGUAAACUGCUUUUGUACGGAACGAAACGGUCUGCUUUAAUACAGUGGGCUAAUGACGGUACCGUAAGAAUAAGCACCGGCUAACUACGUGCCAGCAGCCGCGGUAAUACGUAGGGUGCGAGCGUUAAUCGGAAUUACUGGGCGUAAAGCGUGCGCAGGCGGUUAUAUAAGACAGAUGUGAAAUCCCCGGGCUCAACCUGGGACCUGCAUUUGUGACUGUAUAGCUAGAGUACGGUAGAGGGGGAUGGAAUUCCGCGUGUAGCAGUGAAAUGCGUAGAUAUGCGGANGAACACCGAUGGCGAANGCAAUCCCCUGGACCUGUACUGACGCUCAUGCACGAAAGCGUGGGGAGCAAACANGANUANAUACCCUGNUAGUCCACGCCCUAAACGAUGUCNACUGGUUGUUGGGUCUUCACUGACUCANUAACGAAGCUAACGCGUGAAGUUGACCGCCUGGGGANUA